GACGAACGCUGGCGGCGUGCCUAACACAUGCAAGUCGAACGGAAAGGCCCUGCUUUUGUGGGGUGCUCGAGUGGCGAACGGGUGAGUAACACGUGAGUAACCUGCCCUUGACUUUGGGAUAACUUCAGGAAACUGGGGCUAAUACCGGAUAGGAGCUCCUGCUGCAUGGUGGGGGUUGGAAAGUUUCGGCGGUUGGGGAUGGACUCGCGGCUUAUCAGCUUGUUGGUGGGGUAGUGGCUUACCAAGGCUUUGACGGGUAGCCGGCCUGAGAGGGUGACCGGCCACAUUGGGACUGAGAGACGGCCCAGACUCCUACAGGAGGCAGCAGUGGGGAAUAUUGCACAAUGGGCGGAAGCCUGAUGCAGCAACGCCGCGUGCGGGAUGACGGCCUUCGGGUUGUAAACCGCUUUCGCCUGUGACGAAGCGUGAGUGACGGUAAUGAGUAAAGAAGCACCGGCUAACUACGUG
rnacentral:rRNA from 1 species